rnacentral:rRNA from 1 species
GACGAACGCUGGCGGCGUGCCUAAUACAUGCAAGUCGAGCGGACCUCUUCGGAGGUCAGCGGCGGACGGGUGAGUAACACGUGGGCAACCUGCCUGUAAGACUGGGAUAACACCGGGAUACCGGUGCUAAUACCGGAUAAUCCUUCUCCUCUCAUGAGGGGAAGCUGAAAGACGGUUUCGGCUGUCACUUACAGAUGGGCCCGCGGCGCAUUAGCUAGUUGGUGGGGUAACGGCCCACCAAGGCGACGAUGCGUAGCCGACCUGAGAGGGUGAUCGGCCACACUGGGACUGAGACACGGCCCAGACUCCUACGGGAGGCAGCAGUAGGGAAUCUUCCGCAAUGGACGAAAGUCUGACGGAGCAACGCCGCGUGAGCGAAGAAGGCCUUCGGGUCGUAAAGCUCUGUUGUCAGGGAAGAACACGUACCGGAGUAACUGCCGGUACCUUGACGGUACCUGACCAGAAAGCCACGGCUAACUACGUGCCAGCAGCCGCGGUAACAC